rnacentral:rRNA from 1 species
GGUUGGCUCAGAAGCAGCCAUCCUUUAAAGAGUGCGUAACAGCUCACUAGUCGAAUGACUCUGCGCCGAUAAUUUACCGGGGCUAAGCAUACUACCGAAGCUAUGGAUCCCAAGGGAUGGUAGGGGAGCGUUCCAUGAACGGAGAAGUACGACCGAAAGGACGUGUGGAGAUCAUGGAAGAGAGAAUGCCGGUGUGAGUAGCGGAACGUGGGUGAGAAUCCCACGCACCGAAAACCCAAGGUUUCCAGAGGAAGGUUCGUCCGCUCUGGGUAAGUCGGGACCUAAGGCGAGGCCGAAAGGCGUAGUCGAUGGACAACAGGUAGAGAUUCCUGUACCCGUAUAUAUGUGAAGGAAUGACGGAGAGAGGAAGCUGCAGCCAGCGGCUGGAAGAGCUGGUGCAAGCGAGAUAUCGGGAUGGCAGGCAAAUCCACCAUCCGAAACGAGAAGGCGUGAAGCGUACGGAAAGCUACGGCGAGUACGGAAGGCAGUGGAGGAACUUCCAAGAAAAGUUUCUAACGUAAAGUAUAUAUGGCCCGUACCGAAAAUGGACACACAUGGGUGAGGAGAGAAUCCUAAGGUGAGCGAGAGAACUAUAGCUAAGGAACUCUGCAAAAUGACUCCGUAACUUAGGGAGAAGGAGUGCUCAUAGAGAUAUGAGCCGCAGUGAAACGGCCCAAGCGACUGUUUACCAAAAACACAGCUCUCUGCUAAGCCGCAAGGCGAAGUAUAGGGGGUGACGCCUGCCCGGUGCUGGAAGGUUAAGGGGAGGGGUUAACGCAAGUGAAGCCCUGAACUGAAGCCCCAGUAAACGGCGGCCGUAACUAUAACGGUCCUAAGGUAGCGAAAUUCCUUGUCAGGUAAGUUCUGACCCGCACGAAAGGCGUAACGAUUUGGGCGCUGUCUCAGCUGUAGACUCGGUGAAGUCUUAGUACCUGUGAAGAUGCAGGUUACCCGCGACUAGACGGAAAGACCCCAUGGAGCUUCACUGCAGGUUGAUAUUGGGAUUUGAUGCAGCAUGUACAGGAUAGGUAGGAGGCAAAGAGAUGGAUACGCCAGUAUUCAAGGAGCCGCUGUUGGGAUACUACCCCUGUUGUAUUGGAUUUCUAACCGGACGACGUAGAACCGUUGACGGGACAGUGUCAGUCGGGCAGUUUGACUGGGGCGGUCGCCUCCCAAAGAGUAACGGAGGCGCCCAAAGAUACCCUCAGCUUGGAUGGAAACCAAGCGCAGAGUGCAAAGGCAAAAGGGUGUUUGACUGCGAGACCCACAAGUCGAGCAGGGACGAAAGUCGGGCUUAGUGAUCCGGCGGUGCUGAAUGGAAAGGCCGUCGCUCAACGGAUAAAAGCUACCCUGGGGAUAACAGGCUGAUCUCCCCCAAGAGUCCACAUCGACGGGGAGGUUUGGCACCUCGAUGUCGGCUCAUCGCAUCCUGGGGCUGAAGUAGGUCCCAAGGGUUGGGCUGUUCGCCCAUUAAAGCGGUACGCGAGCUGGGUUCAGAACGUCGUGAGACAGUUCGGUCCCUAUCUGUCGUGGGCGCAGGAAAUUUGAGAAGAGCUGUCCUCAGUACGAGAGGACCGGGAUGGACGCAUCAAUGGUGGACCAGUUGUCACGCCAGUGGCAUAGCUGGGUAGCUAAAUGCGGAAGGGAUAAACGCUGAAGGCAUCUAAGUGUGAAACCCACUUCAAGAUGAGAUUUCCCAUUGC